CUUGAGCGAGCCGACCCACAGCGGGCGCCCGGCCGGGCGGUCCUGGCCGUAGGCGGUGAUGAGCGCCUGCGCCUC
rnacentral:antisense_RNA from 1 species